rnacentral:rRNA from 1 species
UACAGAGGGUGCAAGCGUUGUUCGGAAUUACUGGGCGUAAAGGGCGCGUAGGCGGUUCAGCAAGUCAGAUGUGAAAGCCCGAAGCUUAACUUCGGAGGUGCAUUUGAAACUGCUAGACUAGAGUAAAGCAGGGGUUGGCGGAAUACCCAGUGUAGAGGUGAAAUUCGUAGAUAUUGGGUAGAACACCGGUGGCGAAGGCGGCCAACUGGACUUUAACUGACGCUGAGGCGCGAAGGCGUGGGGAGCAAACAGG